UCCUGAUUUAUUCACUUUACAGCUUCUCCCUCCUCCCAGUCACCCUCUCACACAACCUUCCCCCACCCCCUCUUUAUCUCCUUUGAGAAGGGAGACUCACCCCACAUCCUUUAAAUCCCAACACAUCAAUUUACUGCAAGACUAGGCGCAUCUUCUCCCACUGAGGCCAGACAUGGCAGCCCAGAUAAGGGAAUGGGAUCCACAGGCAGGCAACAGAUUUAGGGACAGCCCUGCUCCAGGUGUUGGGGGACCUGCAUGAAGACCAAGCAGCACGUAAGUGUUCAGGGCCUGGGUUCACCCCGUGCCUGCUCUUUGGUUGGUGGUUCAGUCUCUGGGAACCCUCAAGGGUUCAGGCCAGUUGACUCUGUUAGGAAAGGGAGGGGUCCAUCUUGCUUCAGGCAAGUAAAGACUUUUUUUUUUCUUCUUGCAACUGCUUCUUUUUUUCCUCUAGCUUCACAAGCUUUACCGUUUUGAGGGAGGUGGGUUCUCCUUUUCAUACCCCUUGGCUACCAUCUGUCAGGCGAAGAACGCUUAACUCUCUAACAAAUGAAGGACAGAAUGCCCUCCGUGCUAGGGACUAGGUGCCCGAGUGGCACUGACCACAAAGGAUCUGUAGCUGCAGAGCUGCUUGACCUAUGACCCUUCAGAGAGGAGGGCAGACGUAGUCUCACCUUCUUGUACUCUUUGUUUGCCAGCAUAGAUGGAGAGGAAGUAGAUGUGAGUCUAACUUGGAAUGCUAUACCAGCUACGGGGGAGGAAAGAUAAUUUCUCUUCAACCCUCAGACACUCAUGGCUGGGACGCUGUUAGUGAGAGGCUCCCUGAGCCUGCCUAGAUGUUAGGAUAUGGCUGGCUGUGGCUAUUUAGGUUCCCCCAGCAGCAACCCCAAAUGAGGAUUUGAGUGCAAGAGGUAGAUUCGAGAGUCAAACCAUUCUCCUUUGAUUCUUCAUCUCCAUUCUCCUGGUAGAGAAUGGCUCUACACCUGGCUCAACAAAGCCCUUGGUGAGUUCAAGUUUCCUCUGUGAGCUACAGCUUUCAGGAGGAAGUGUUCAGAAUAACAGAGCAUGCUUCAGAAUUAUCUAGAAUUAUCCUAGCUCUGGCUAAAGAAGCUCGGGGCCGUGCCCAUUUAUUUAUUCCCUAUUGGCUGAAGUUUGCUUCUGGAGGCGAUCUCCAGAACUUCCUGAUUGCUCCAUCUGCAGGUCACAGAGAAGGCUGCUGGGGCCAACAAAGCUCUUUCUGAGGGGAGCAUAGUGUCUGUGGGAGGAAUCAAGGAGAGAUUGGGACACCAACCCAGCCACAAAAAUGUUUGGCCUACAACUUGUUCUGCCUGCAAGAUGUGCUGAGGUAGAGAUGGCACAGAACUUGUGGGAGUGGACAACAAUGACUGGUCCAACUUGAGACCUAUGCCACAAGAGGGAGCCCACCUGUGACACUGCCUGGGGUUGGGGGGUGGGAACCAGAGGACAGAUAGCCCAGAGACCUGGGUUAGAGCUAAACAUGACUGGAAAAGAAAAGUCAAUGAGAUGAUUCCCAAUGACAUCUGCUGCACUCAUCAGAGAGGCUCCACCAAGCAACCAAUGGGAGCAGAUGCAGAGACCCACAGCCAAACACUGAGAUUUCGGGGAAUCUCAUGGAAGAGCGGGAGGAAGGAUUGUAGGAGCCAGAGGGGACAAGGCCACCACCAGAAUAUGACCCACAGGAUCAGCUAAUCAGCCCAAAGGGACUCACAGGUACUGAACUAGCAGUCAGGGAGCCUGUAUAGGUCUGACCCUCUGCAUAGAAGUUAAAGUUGUUUAGCUUGGUGUUCCGUGGGACUCAUAAUAGUGGGAGCAGGGACUGUUUCUGACUCUUGACUGUUUUGGGGACCCCUUUCCUUCUACUGGUUGCCUCAACAGUCUUCAUAUGAGGUAAGUGUGUAGCCUUAUUUUAUCUCAAUAUGCUAUGUUUGGCUGAAGGCUCUGGGAGGCCUGCUGUAUUUUGAAGGGAAAUGGAGGAACAGUGGGUCUGGGGGAGAAGAGAGGUGGAAGAAGGGUAUAGGAGAAGAUGAGGGAGGGGAUUGUAUGAGAGAAGAAUAAAUAAAUAAAUAAAUAAAUAAUAAAGGAUCAAGGGCAUGUGUGUCAGGUACUCAGAUCCAACUUGACUUCGCUCUAAUCCUGUCCCAAGUGUGAAUACUUUGAGAAGGUGCAGAAAAACAUCACUUAAGAAAGGAAUUAGGGACUGGAGAGAUGGCUCUGCAGUUAAGAUCACUUGUUGAUCUUGCAGAGAAUCAAAUUCUCUUCUCAGCAUCUAUGCGGCAGAUACAACCGUCCAUAGAUCUUUGAAACUCAGAGGGCACAAGUCAGACACCUGGUGCACAGGCAUACAUGCAAACAAGAUAGUCAUACCAUACAAAAUAAAAAUAAUCUUUUUUAAAAAGAAAGAAGUCAGCUUACCUUAAUGUGAAACGUGAACUAAGUACUUGGGACUUCUGUUUUUUGAGUUCCACACACUAGUGUUUUGUUUUUACCGGGACCAGCUACAUAAUUUAUACAACUCGGCACAACAUGAAGAUGGUUGGGCUCUAUGCAGAAACAAUGUCAAGAUAUCAACAGCAAGGCAUGAACAAGGGGUGAGGCUGUUCUAUGCAUAUGUCCUGUGCAGUUCUACAGCUCAUACUCUCUGAAGCUGGCCGGCUCCCCGAUCUGGAGCAUUUGGGAAAUCUUACAGGUGGCUUUACAUCUUUUAAGAUGCUCCAGUCUUAGCCGGUGAAGAUGCAAGCAGACUGGCAUUCUUUCCAAGCGCCUCAGGGCCCAUCUUCCUGAUUUCAACCCAAAACAGGACUGUUCCUGGAUUAACUGCUGAUGAAAUCACACAACGUGAAGAGAGUGUUAAUGGAGACAGCAAGACCGGUCCACUGUGGGUGGAACCAUCCCCUGGCUUGGGAUCUGCACUGCAUGAAAAGGAGAAAAGGAGCUGAGAACCAGUGUCCACCGCUCUCUGCUUCCUGGAUGCCAUGUGACCGGUUGUUUCAAGCUCCUGAUGCUGUGACUUCCCCACAAUGAUGCAUUACAACUUUGAACUCUGUGCCAAAGAAAACUCUUCUUUCCCAAGUUGCUUCUGUCUGAGUAUUUUAUCCCAGCAACAGAAUGCUGCAGCACUUGGGAGAGCCAGCCCUACCUCUUGUCUGCUGUGUGUGGUGUGGAUGAGGGGAGAGGCCCUCCUUCCCUCCAUCACCCCUUGCCACCUGCGGCAUGUGGAAGAGUUGGUCCCAGGGUCACGAGAGUGGCCCUGUCCCUCAUCAGCUGCAAUACUGGUGAGAGGGGCACUGUUCCUGGGGAGCAGGGCAGAACUGGCCCCAGUGGGGGGUGGGGGGGGGUUUGCAGGCCCUAAGAGUCUGAGGGCAAGAGAGGUAGGCUGACCAGCUGAAAUACCUCUCGGGUCCAGAUCCAGGGCUUUGAAUUGGCCCACUCCCACAUCUACCCCACUGAUGAACUAACUGCUGGGGUGCACAAAGGGCUCCUACAGAUCCUAUAGGUCCUACCCAUCCAAAACUACACAAUCUCCAUGACACAGAGCAACAACAAGAUAUCUGAGAGGAGUCCCAAUGAGUUUCCAGUAUUGAUAGAGUAGCAGAAGCCAGAGGCCUCGGACCAGACCAACAAGUCAUUGCAAUGAACAUUUGCAUGCAAAGAAGUGUGGACGAAAGGGUGUCCUGUGGGACACACUAUGACACACUACAGCUUCCACAAUGAGAUUGUUUUUCUCUGUUUGGGGGGGGGGAUUAGUUUACAAGGGUGGAGAGCGGGUACAAGGGGGGGGGAGUGGGAUUGAGGUGCAUGGUGUGAAAUUCACAUGGAGCCAAUAAAAAUGUUUAAAAGAUAAA